rnacentral:rRNA from 1 species
AUUGAACGCUGGCGGCAGGCCUAACACAUGCAAGUCGAACGGAGUGGCGGACGGGUGAGUAAUGUCUGGGAAUCUGCCUGGUAGUGGGGGAUAACGUCCGGAAACGGGCGCUAAUACCGCAUACUAUCAGAUGAGCCUAGGUCGGAUUAGCUAGUUGGUGGGGUAAAGGCCUACCAAGGCGACGAUCCGUAACUGGUCUGAGAGGAUGAUCAGUCACACUGGGACGGAGAUACGGCCCAGACUCCUAAGGGAGGCAGCAGUGGGGGAUAUUGAACAAUGGGCGAAAGCCUGAUGUAGCGACGCCGCGUGGGGGAUGAAGGCUUUCGGGUUGUAAACCUCUUUCGCUAGCGAACGGGUAGGUGGAGAAGAAGCGCCGGCUAACUACGUGCCAGCAGCCGCGGUAAUUC